rnacentral:rRNA from 1 species
UGGGGGAUAUUGCACAAUGGGCGAAAGCCUGAUGCAGCGACGCCGCGUGGGGGAUGAAGGCCUUCGGGUUGUAAACUUCUUUUGCUCUGAACAAGGCAUGCCUUUGGGGUGUGUUGAGUGUAGGGGUUGAUUAGCGCCGGCUAACUACGUGCCAGCAGCCGCGGUAAUACGUAGGGCGCGAGCGUUGUCCGGAAUUAUUGGGCGUAAAGGGCUUGUAGGUGGCUGGUUGCGUCUGUCGUGAAAGCUCAUGGCUUAACUGUGGGUUUGCGGUGGGUACGGGCUGGCUUGAGUGCAGUAGGGGAGGCUGGAAUUCCUGGUGUAGCAGUGGAAUGCGCAGAUAUCAGGAGGAAUACCGGUGGCGAAGGCGGGUCUCUGGGCUGUUACUGACGCUGAGGAGCGAAAGCGUGGGGAGCGAACAGG